CUGGUGACAUCGGAGUCUUUUGACGCAUGUUGCGCCUGAUGCCAUUAGGUUGAGGGCACGUCUGCCUGGGUGUCACAUGUCGAAGCCUCCUUGACUAUUGUGCAGGGUGGAUGUUGGCCUCCCGUGAGCUCUUUCGUCUCAUGGUUGGUUGAAAAUCGAGUCCUUGGUAGGGUGUGCCAUGAUAGAUGGUGGUUGUGUGACGCACGAGACCAACCAUGCGCUUCUCUAUUGUAUUUGGCCUCUUUUACCCAUAUGCGUUUCUAAACGCUCGUGAUGAGACCUCAGGUCAGGCGGGACUACCCGCUGAAUUUAAGCAUAUCAAUAAGCGGAGGAAAAGAAACUAACAAGGAUUCCCUUAGUAAUGGCGAGCGAACUGGGAUAAGCCCACCGUGAGAAUCGGUCGCCCUCGGCGUUCGAAUUGUAUCGAAAAAAAAACCUUAAAAAAAU
rnacentral:rRNA from 1 species